rnacentral:misc_RNA from 1 species
GGAAGGAUCAUUAACAAUACAUGUUGAGGGACACCGAUGAAGGCUUCACAGCUAACAGAACGUGGCCCUCAAAUCAUACAUACCUUCCCCAUAUAAGCCUCACAAGGGUUUAUAUGGGGGACCGUCAAGAGCUACGACAGUACUGAAAAGUAUUGGCAUAGUUUGGGGCGGAACACUCACAUUUAACAUUUGACAACAAUGGAGAACCACUUAUGGUAAACGUUGAAACAACUUUUAACAAUGGAUCUCUAGGCUCUUGCAACGAUGAAGAACGCAGCAAACUGCGAAACGUCAUGUGACCUGCACUCUUCGUGAAUCAUCCAAUCUUUGAACGCACUUUGCACCUCGUGGCUUUUGUCACAAGGUAUACUUGUUUGAGUAUCUAAAACAACCUCACUCCUCCUCUGGGAUGAAGUGGACCUGAAUUUCGAUGAAACGCUAUCAAAAUAGCGUAGAGUCGUUAUUUUAAAUAAGGAUUGACCUCUCUCUUUUUAUCCAAGAAGAGAGGGUGGGACGCCUUCGUUGGAGUCUUGACAGAGUCAUUGGGAUAACAUCUCAACAAUCGCCUGUCAAGUGCCUUUCUUGUAAUAGGGAAAGGAAAAAACGUUGGCCAACCUUGUCAUACGUGAUAGGACGGGGGUGAAUAUGUGUCUUGCAAAAGAAACAUGUUGGCUUUUUUCCACUUUUGUGAAAUAGAUCUCAAAUCAAGUAAGGAUACCCGCUGAACUUAAGCAUAUCAGUAAGCGGAGGAAAAGAAACUAACAAGGAUUCCCCUAGUAACGGCGAGUGAAGAGGGAAGAGCUCAAAUUUAAAAUCUGUCUACUUUUAGUAGUCUGAAUUGUAAUUGAGAGGGUGUUCUUUUUGGACGACCGAUGGCCAAAGUUCUCUGGAAAGGGACAACAAAGAGGGUGACAUUCCCGUCUGGGUCAUUGGAAAGCCAUACACAAAGAAUACUCCAAGAGUCGGAUUGUUUGGGAAUGCAGUCCAAAAUGGGUGGUACAUUUCAUCUAAAGCUAAAUAUUGGCAAGAGACCGAUAGCGAACAAGUACCGUGAGGGAAAGAUGAAAAGAACUUUGAAAAGAGAGUUAAAUAGUACGUGAAAUUGUUAAAAGGGAAACGAUUGAGACCAGUGAUGUUGCUUGUCCUCAAGCGUUCCUCUUGGGGAGCGUGUAUGGGCAGGUGUAACAAGUUGACGCUCCUUUGAGACUUUGGAUAAGACGUAAGGAAAGGUGGCGCUGUCUUCGGAUAGUUGCUUUAUAGUCCUAACGGGAUACAAAGACUUGGAGGAGUCAAGUAGGGUGCAAACUCACGUCGACGAAAUGGUCUUAAACGACCCGUCUUGAAACACGGACCAAGGAGUCUAACAACUAUGCGAGUAUUUGAGUGGUUAAAACUCGAAUGCGUAAAGAAACUGAACGCGUGGGAUCGUGUCUUCUCCGGAAGGUACGUGCACCAUGGGCCGGUCCUUGACGUGUCUUGGAUUGCGCUAGAGCAUAUCUGUUGGGACCCGAAAGAUGGUGAACUAUGCCUGAAUAGGGUGAAGCCAGGGGAAACUCUGGUGGAGGCUCGUAGACAUUCUGACGUGCAAAUCGAUGUUCAAAUUUGGGUAUAGGGGCGAAAGACUAAUCGAACCAUCUAGUAGCUGGUUCCCUC